GAUUAUGGCUCAGGAUGAACGCUAGCUACAGGCUUAACACAUGCAAGUCGAGGGGCAGCAUGUGGUUGCUUGCAACCAAUGAUGGCGACCGGCGCACGGGUGAGUAACGCGUAUCCAACCUUCCCUAUAGUAGAGGAUAGCCCGGCGAAAGUCGGAUUAAUACUCUAUGUUUUCCAAUGCAGACAUCUAAAAUGGAACAAAGGUUUACCGCUAUAGGAUGGGGAUGCGUCUGAUUAGAUAGUCGGCGGGGUAACGGCCCACCGAGUCGACGAUCAGUAGGGUUCUGAGAGGAAGGUCCCCCACAUUGGAACUGAGACACGGUCCAAACUCCUACGGGAGGCAGCAGUGAGGAAUAUUGGUCAAUGGGCGAGAGCCUGAACCAGCCAAGUAGCGUGCAGGAUGACGGCCCUAUGGGUUGUAAACUGCUUUUAUACAGGGAUAAAGUGACGUACGUGUACGUUAUUGUAGGUACUGUAUGAAUAAGGACCGGCUAAUUCCGUGCCAGCCGCAGC
rnacentral:rRNA from 1 species